rnacentral:rRNA from 1 species
GACGAACGCUGGCGGCGUGCCUAAUACAUGCAAGUUGAGCGCUGAAGGUUGGUACUUGUACCAACUGGAUGAGCAGCGAACGGGUGAGUAACGCGUGGGGAAUCUGCCUUUGAGCGGGGGACAACAUUUGGAAACGAAUGCUAAUACCGCAUAAAAACUUUAAACACAAGUUUUAAGUUUGAAAGAUGCAAUUGCAUCACUCAAAGAUGAUCCCGCGUUGUAUUAGCUAGUUGGUGAGGUAAAGGCUCACCAAGGCGAUGAUACAUAGCCGACCUGAGAGGGUGAUCGGCCACAUUGGGACUGAGACACGGCCCAAACUCCUACGGGAGGCAGCAGUAGGGAAUCUUCGGCAAUGGACGAAAGUCUGACCGAGCAACGCCGCGGGAGUGAAGAAGGUUUUCGGAUCGUAAAACUCUGUUUGUAGAGAAGAGCGGUGGUGAGAGGGGAAAGCUCAUCAAGUGACGGUAACUACCCAGAAAGGGACGGCUAACUACGUG